CUAGGAAAUCCACCUGAAGCUAAGCAGGUUUGGGCCAGGCCAGUACUUGGAGGGGAGACCAACUAGGAAAGCUGGGAUGCAGCUGGA
rnacentral:rRNA from 1 species